AUUCUGUAUUGCUAGCUGCCUGAAAGGAUCAUCCACGUAAUUCUCUCCCUCGAAGCACAACGCCCUCAAAACAAACAAAUGGUCCAUACCCUCUCUCUCUCCCUCUCCGCCAAAAAUCAUUCUCUACAAUCAGAAUUAGGAUCCUGUCGCUGUCACACCACCACCACCACCACCACCAGUCCCUGUUCCGUUACCGCCGUCGCAAAGACCCCUCCUGUCCCUGUUUUUGCUGCUGUGCUCUCUGAACUUUCUGAUUUUAAAGAAAAUGGACUCUAAAUUAAAUCUAGGGUUUCACCGUACACAAAUAACCGACGAUUCAAUCUCUCUCCAGCUCGACUCCAGCCUCCGCGACCUCCCCACCGCAAACCCGGUUUCACCCGUUCCUCUCCAAUUGCUCGAGCCACUGACCGAGUCUCACUACUGCAAUAACCAAAACGGAGAGAAAGAAGAAGACGACGAUGACAGAGAUGUCGAGGAGUUUAGGAUAUUAGGGCACUCUUUGUGUUUCAAACGCCGAAGAGAGAGCGAUUCUUUGAGGAGCAAUAAAAGAGAGGCAUCCUCCUCUUCUAAUGGAUUGGAUGUUGAAGAGCGCAGGAGUCUUGUCAAAACAUGGGGGAACCAGCCGCUAAGCGCGGCGGAUUCGGAGAUUUUUGAGAUAAUGGAGAAAGAGAAAGAGAGGCAGUUUAAAGGGAUUGAAUUGAUUGCGUCGGAGAAUUUUGUAUGUAGGGCGGUAAUGGAGGCUCUUGGAAGUCAUUUAACGAAUAAGUAUUCGGAGGGAAUGCCUGCAGCGCGAUAUUAUGGUGGGAAUCAGUACAUUGAUGAGAUUGAACUGCUGUGUUGUAAGAGAGCACUGGAGGCUUUUGGUUUGGAUUCUGAGAGUUGGGGAGUAAAUGUGCAGCCGUAUUCGUGUACUUCGGCUAAUUUCGCUGUGUAUACUGGGUUGUUGUUGCCGGGGGAUAGGAUUAUGGGGUUGGACACACCAUCUGGAGGGAAUACUAGUCAUGGCUAUUAUACCCCUCAUGGGCGGAAGGUUUCCGGUGCAUCUAUUUUCUUCGAGAGUUUGCCUUAUAAGGUCAAUCCUCAAACUGGGUAUAUUGAUUUAGAUAAGUUAGAGGAGAGAGCACUUGAUUUUAGGCCAAAAAUACUCAUUUGUGGUGGUAGCUCGUAUCCAAGGGAGUGGGAUUAUGCGAGGUUAAGGCAUAUCGCAGAUAAGUGUGGUGCUGUGCUUAUGUGUGAUAUGGCACAGAUUAGUGGUCUUGUUGCUGCUAAGGAAUGUCUGAACCCCUUUGUUUACUGUGAUAUUGUUACCUCAACAACCCAUAAAAGUCUUCGAGGUCCAAGGGGAGGCAUCAUUUUCUACAGGAAGGGUACAAAACCAAGGAAAAGGGGGAUCCAUCUAGGUCAAGGAGAUGAGAGUGAUCAAUAUGAUUUCGAGGAAAAGAUAAAUUUUGCUGUUUUUCCAUCAUUGCAAGGUGGACCGCAUAAUAACCACAUUGCUGCUCUUGCCAUAGCCUUUAAACAAGUGGCUACCCCUGAGUACAAGGCAUACAUGCAACAGGUGAAGAAAAACGCACAGUAUUUAGCAGCUGCUUUGCUGAGAAGAAAAUGCAGGCUAGUAACUGGAGGCACAGAUAACCAUUUGCUACUCUGGGAUCUCAGGCCUUUGGGAUUAACAGGUAAAGCUUAUGAAAAGGUCUGCGAGUUGUGCCACAUCACAGUAAAUAAAAUUGCUAUUUUUGGGGAGAAUGGAACUAUUACUCCUGGAGGUGUAAGGAUUGGUACUCCUGCCAUGACUUCAAGAGGUUGCCUGGAAUCUGAUUUUGAGACAAUUGCUGAUUUUCUCCUGAAAGCUGCACAUAUUGCUUAUAUGGUGCUGCGUGAACAUGGGAAGCUGCAGAAGGCUUUCAUGAAUGGUCUGCAAACCAAGAAAGAAAUUUUAGAGCUCCAGAAGCAAGUUGAAAAUUUUGCAACUCAGUUUGCAAUGCCAGGUUUUGACAUGUGAAUGGGUUUUGGGAAUGAAAUAUUUGAAGUGCCUCCCUGAGCUCUUUUAAAGCUGGCAGUCAUCCCUAUGCGCCUCAUUUUGUUGGCUCUAGACAACAAACAGUCCUGGGCUUCUAUAGACAACAGUUUUGGUUACAUCUGUGGUUGCCAACCUCCUGAAAUUGCAAGAUGUCACAUUGCCACAGGGAGGGAUUUUACUGUCUGUUGACGGAUAACAAGAGGAUCUUGUUGGCUAUGAACCCUUUGUCCUCUUGUAACCAGACAGCAGCAUCACCUCUCUGAUCACUCUGGUAAAAAUGGUGGCCUGACUCUGGAAAAAGAGUAGGCCUGAUAUGAUGUACAGUUGAUCUUCGAUCUCUUGUAACACUACUGUCAUCACAUUUUGUCUGGAGCCAUUGUUGCUAUAGUUUGGAAUAAUUUUGUCUCAGGAUGCAGCUGUUUAGUUCGCCACCAUCUCUCAGAAUGAUAGACGGACGUGCAUUUUAGGUUUAAGCAAAUGGUGGUUGAUAGAUGUUGCAGAUUUUUAGCGAUGCACAUGCCUCAUACUGGAUCAUUUCAUAUUGGUGUUCAACUCUUUAGGUAUAUCCAUGACUGUCAACUUUCUUCUUUUGAAGGUAUUCAUUUGAACAUAUGAUCUGGUCUAAUAUUGUAUUUGCGUCUUAUGGAGGUUUUUUUUUUUUUUGUUACCAAAACAAUUGUAUUUCAUAUUUCAUAAGCUUAUUUUCCCAUGGGGCACUUCAGAACUUAUUUCUCAAAUAUUGGUGUUUUUAUCUUUGAAAUCGCCAUUUGUAUUAGAUUAGGAAAAUAAUAUAUUAUACAAAUUUCAAAUAAAGAAAUUAAAACUCUAGAUUCAUACCA